UACGAGGGGGGCAAGUGUUGUUCGGAAUUACUGGGCGUAAAGGGCUCGUAGGCGGCCAACUAAGUCAGACGUGAAAUCCCUCGGCUUAACCGGGGAACUGCGUCUGAUACUGGAUGGCUUGAGAUUGGGAGAGGGAUGCGGAAUUCCAGGUGUAGCGGUGAAAUGCGUAGAUAUCUGGAGGAACACCGGUGGCGAAGGCGGCAUCCUGGACCAACACUGACGCUGAGUGAGCGAAAGCCAGGGGAGCAAACGGG
rnacentral:rRNA from 1 species